CAAUAGCGUAUAUUAAAGUUGUUGCAGUUAGAACGCUCGUAGUCGGAUUUCGGGGCGGGCCGACCGGUCUGCCGAUGGGUAUGCACUGGCCGGCGCGUCCUUCCUUCCGGAGACCGUCCCUACUCUUAACUGAGCGGGGGCGGGAGACGGGACUUUUACUUUGAAAAAAUCAGAGUGUUUCAAGCAGGCAGCUCGCUCUUGCAUGGAUUAGCAUGGGAUAAUGAAAUAGGACUUUGGUGCUAUUUUGUUGGUUUCGAACACCGAAGUAAUGAUGAGAAGGGACAGUCAGGGGCACUCGUAUUUUGCCGAGAGAGGUGAAAUUCUCAGACCAGCGAAAGACGAACCACUGCGAAAGCAUUUGCCAGGGAUGUUUUCACUG
rnacentral:rRNA from 1 species